rnacentral:rRNA from 1 species
UGGGGAAUAUUGCACAAUGGGCGCAAGCCUGAUGCAGCAACGCCGCGUGAACGAUGAAGGUCUUCGGAUCGUAAAGUUCUGUUGUAGGGGAAGAUAAUGACGGUACCCUGUGAGGAAGCCCCGGCUAACUACGUGCCAGCAGCCGCGGUAAUACGUAGGGGGCUAGCGUUAUCCGGAUUUACUGGGCGUAAAGGGUGCGUAGGUGGUCCUUCAAGUCGGUGGUUAAAGGCUACGGCUCAACCGUAGUAAGCCGCCGAAACUGGAGGACUUGAGUGCAGGAGAGGAAAGUGGAAUUCCCAGUGUAGCGGUGAAAUGCGUAGAUAUUGGGAGGAACACCAGUAGCGAAGGCGGCUUUCUGGACUGCAACUGACACUGAGGCACGAAAGCGUGGGUAGCAAACAGG